UGCGUAGGUGGUGAGGUAAGUCGGAUGUGAAAGCUCGGAGCUCGACUCCGAAAUGGCAUUGGAAACUACCUUGCUCGAGGGUUGGAGGGGGGACUGGAAUACUUGGUGUAGCAGUGAAAUGCGUAGAUAUCAAGUGGAACACCAGUGGCGAAGGCGAGUCCCUGGACAACUCCUGACACUGAGGCACGAAAGCUAGGGGAGCAAACA
rnacentral:rRNA from 1 species